rnacentral:rRNA from 1 species
GAUGAACGCUGGCGGCGUGCCUAAUACAUGCAAGUCGAGCGAACGGACGAGAAGCUUGCUUCUCUGAUGUUAGCGGCGGACGGGUGAGUAACACGUGGAUAACCUACCUAUAAGACUGGGAUAACUUCGGGAAACCGGAGCUAAUACCGGAUGAUAUUUUGAACCGCAUGGUUCAAAAGUGAAAGACGGUCUUGCUGUCACUUAUAGAUGGAUCCGCGCUGCAUUAGCUAGUUGGUAAGGUAACGGCUUACCAAGGCAACGAUGCAUAGCCGACCUGAGAGGGUGAUCGGCAACACUGGAACUGAGACACGGUCCAGACUCCUACGGGAGGCAGCAGUAGGGAAUCUUCCGCAAUGGGCGAAAGCCUGACGGAGCAACGCCACGUGAGUGAUGAAGGUCUUCGGAUCGUAAAACUCUGUUAUUAGGGAAGAACAUAUGUGUAAGUAACUGUGCACAUCUUGACGGUACCUAAUCAGAAAGCCACGGCUAACUACGUG